rnacentral:lncRNA from 1 species
AAACGAUUCUCCUGCCUCAGCCUCCAGAGUACCUGGGAUUACAGCUUCCAGUAAACUUUUAAAAUGAAAAAGAAGGCAAGAUUAAAUAAUCUCAACUAUGUGACUGCUUAAAUGGGGAAUGAAAUCAAUUCUUCACAUCUAUGGAAAAACAAGUGAGCCAGGGUUGUGAUUCCAACUGGAUAAAGAAUGAACGUGGAAUUAUUAAUGUGAUGUAACAGAGGAAGAAAUAAGUUUAAUUGAUCAAGUAUUUGCUCAGUAUGUACUAGGAGCCUGGAAAUUGAAGAGUUUUAUCUCUUGGAAUUCCUUAAGAAAAACCUUGGCUUAAUAAUUUAAAUGUUUUCAUGUCUGAAGCAGGAAAAUGAAUUAGCUAUUACAGGUGCAUUCUUGUUCUUUGAUGCUUACUUGUUAGGACAUAGGCCACCCUUCACUGCUAGUAAUGUGUUCUUAGACAGAAUUAAAAUUGAGCCCACAUCACAUUCUCACAGCCAAACUUGUAAAUCUAUCCUUUAAAGCUCAAAUUUCUGUUUUGAUUAGAUGCAAAACAUUCAGAUGAUUUAUGAUUGUUUAAUUAAAAGAAAUCAGUGAAAUAAAAACAAAUUAAACUGUUUUAA